rnacentral:rRNA from 1 species
CCCUUAGAUGUUCUGGGCCGCACACGCGCUACACUGAAGGAGGCAGCGUGUACUCCUGGAUCGAAAGAUUUGGGUAACCCGCGAAUCUCCUUCGUGCUAGGGAUUGAGGUUUGCAAUUAUCCUUCAUGAACGAGGAAUUCCCAGUAAGUGCAAGUCAUAAGCUUGCGCUGACUACGUCCCUGCCCUUUGUACACACCGCCCGUCGCUACUACCGAUUGAAUGAUUUAGUGAGGACUUCGGACUGGGACCGAUGCGGCUUUCGGGCUGCGUCGGUAUUCUGGAAAGAUGUCCAAACUGUNUNAUUUAUNGGAAGUAAAANUCGUANCA